rnacentral:rRNA from 1 species
GACGAACGCUGGCGGCGUGCUUAACACAUGCAAGUCGAACGAAGUGGCGAAUGGGUGAGUAACGCGUAAUCAACCUGCCCUUCAGAGGGGGACAACAGUUGGAAACGACUGCUAAUACCGCAUACUGAAGGAGGGGAUUGCGUCUGAUUAGCUAGUGGGAGGGGUAACGGCCCAACAGGGCGAUGAGCAGUAGCCUGUCUGAGAGGAGUAACGGCCACAAUGGGACUGGGACACGGCUCAGACUCCUACGGGAGGCAGCAGUGGGGAAUCUUCCGCAAUGGAGGAAAGUCUGACGGAGCAACGCCGCGUGAGUGAUGACGGCCUUCGGGUUGUAAAGCUCUGUUAAGCGGGACGCGGUACCGGAAUAGAAAGCCACGGCUAACUACGUGCCAGCAGCCGCGGUAAUUC